UAGGGAAUAUUGGGCAAUGGAGGGAACUCUGACCCAGCCAUGCCGCGUGCAGGAUGAAGGCGUUAUGCGUUGUAAACUGCUUUUUAUAUAGGAAGAAAUAGUCCUUGCGAGGAAAGUUGACGGUACUAUAUGAAUAAGCACCGGCUAACUCCGUGCCAGCAGCCGCGGUAAUACGGAGGGUGCAAGCGUUGUCCGGAUUUAUUGGGUUUAAAGGGUGCGUAGGCGGUUUAUUAAGUCAGUGGUGAAAGACGGUCGCUCAACGAUUGCAGUGCCAUUGAUACUGGUAGACUUGAGUAUGAUUGAGGUAGCUGGAAUGGAUAGUGUAGCGGUGAAAUGCAUAGAUAUUAUCCAGAACACCAAUUGCGUAGGCAAGUUACUAAGUCAUAACUGACGCUGAGGCACGAAAGUGUGGGUAUCAAACAGGAUUAGAUACCCUCGUAGUCCCUGAGCGGGCUGGCAAGGCGCAU
rnacentral:rRNA from 1 species